rnacentral:rRNA from 1 species
UCCGUAGGGGGCAAGCGUUGUCCGGAUUUAUUGGGCGUAAAGAGCGUGUAGGCGGCCAUACAGGUCAGCUGUGAAAACUCGAGGCUCAACCUCGAGACGUCGGUUGAAACCGUAUGGCUAGAGUCCGGAAGAGGAGAGUGGAAUUCCCGGUGUAGCGGUGAAAUGCGCAGAUAUCGGGAGGAACACCGACGGCGAAGGCAGCGCCCUGGACGAGACCUGACGCUCAGGCACGAAGGCUGGGGGAGCAAACAGG